AUUGAACGCUGGCGGAAUGCUUUACACAUGCAAGUCGAACGGCAGCACGGACUUCGGUCUGGUGGCGAGUGGCGAACGGGUGAGUAACAUAUCGGAACGUAUCCAAUAAUGGGGGAUAACUAAUCGAAAGGUUGGCUAAUACCGCAUACGCCCUACGGGGGAAAGCUAGGGACCUUCGGGCCUGGCGUUAAUGGAGCGGCCGAUAUCUGAUUAGCUAGUUGGUGGGGUAAAGGCCCACCAAGGCGACGAUCGGUAGCUGGUCUGAGAGGACGACCAGCCAAACUGGAACUGAGACACGGUCCAGACUCCUACGGGAGGCAGCAGUGGGGAAUUUUGGACAAUGGGCGCAAGCCUGAUCCAGCCAUUCCGCGUGAGUGAAGAAGGCCUUCGGGUUGUAAAGCUCUUUCGCAAGGGAAGAAAACUUAGCCUCUAACAUAGGCUGAGGUUGACGGUACCUUGAUAAGAAGCACCGGCUAACUACGUGCCAGCAGCCGCGGUAA
rnacentral:rRNA from 1 species